UGAGGAAUUUUGCGCAAUGGGGGGAACCCUGACGCAGCAACGCCGCGUGAGCGAAGAAGGCCUUCGGGUUGUAAAGCUCUGUCAGGGGGAAAGAAGGCACCUGGGUUAAUAGCCCAAGGGCUGACGGUACCCCCAAAGGAAGCCACGGCUAACUACGUGCCAGCAGCCGCGGUAAUACGUAGGUGGCGAGCGUUGUCCGGAAUCAUUGGGCGUAAAGAGCGCGUAGGUGGCUUGUCAGGUCCGAUGUGAAAACCUGGGGCUCAACUCCAGGCCUGCAUCGGAAACCGGCUUGCUAGAGUCUGGGAGAGGAGAGUGGAAUUCCUGGUGUAGCGGUGAAAUGCGUAGAUAUCAGGAGGAACACCGGUAGCGAAGGCGGCUCUCUGGAACAGUACUGACGCUGAGGCGCGAAAGCUAGGGGAGCGAACA
rnacentral:rRNA from 1 species